rnacentral:rRNA from 1 species
GUCGAUGGAAAAAAAGCGGCCGAUGCCGGAUUAGCUAGUUGGUGAGGUAAAGGCUCACCAAGGCGACGAUCCCGUAGCUGGUCUGAGAGGACGACCAGCCACACUGGGACUGAGACACGGCCCAGACUCCUACGGGAGGCAGCAGUGGGGAAUCUUGGACAAUGGGCGAAAGCCUGAUCCAGCAAUGCCGCGUGUGGGAAGAAGGCCUUCGGGUUGUAAACCACUUUUGGCGGGAAAGAAAUGGUCUGUGCUAAUACCACGGAUUGAUGACGGUACCCGCAGAAUAAGCACCGGCUAACUACGUG